UAAUUUUCUGUUAUUUAUAUGCAGCCUCUCAUGGAUAACCUUGAGGCUCAAACCUACGAGACAUUUGAGAAAGAUGCAAUGAAAUACAUUCAGUACCAAAGGGCAAUUUGUAAAGCUUUGCAAGAUAGAGUUCCUGAAGAAAAAGCAUCAACACUAACCAUUGUAUUGAUGGUUGUAGGAGCAGGGUGAGGACCUCUUGUGA